AGAGUUUGAUCCUGGCUCAGAACUAACGCUGGCGGCAUGCCUAACACAUGCAAGUCGAACGAGAACGUCCCUUCGGGGAUUAGUAAAGUGGCGAACGGGUGAUUAACACGUGAGCAAUCUGCCCUGGAAAUUGGGAUAACCUCGCGAAAGCGGGGCUAAUACCGGAUGAAAUCUUUAUUUCGCAAGAAAUGAAGAUCAAAGGUGACCUCUUCACAAUGUUGCCGUUCUUGGAUGAACUCGCGUCCCAUUAGCUAGUUGGUGAGGUAAUGGCCCACCAAGGCGACGAUGGGUAGCCGGCCUGAGAGGGUGUCCGGCCACACUGGAACUGAGAUACGGUCCAGACUCCUACGGGAGGCAGCAGUGGGGAAUAUUGCGCAAUGGGGGAAACCCUGACGCAGCGAUGCCGUGUGAGCGAUGAAUGUCUUCGGAUUGUAAAGCUCUGUCAGAUGGGAAGAAAGAUACAGACCUUAAUAGGGUAUGUAUUUGACGGUACCAUCAAAGGAAGCCCCGGCUAACUCCGUGCCAGCAGCCGCGGUAAUACGGAGGGGGCGAGCGUUGUUCGGAAUCACUGGGCGUAAAGGGCACGUAGGUGGCUUGAUAAGUCAGGCGUGAAAUCCCAUGGCUUAACUGUGGAAUUGCGCUUGAUACUGUCGAGCUUGAGUACAGGAGAGGAGAGUGGAAUUCCUAGUGUAGCGGUGAAAUGCGCAGAUAUUAGGAGGAACACCAGUGGCGAAGGCGACUCUCUGGUCUGAUACUGACACUGAUGUGCGAAAGCGUGGGGAGCAAACGGGAUUAGAUACCCCGGUAGUCCACGCUGUAAACGAUGGGUACUAGGUGUAGGAGGUAACUAAACCUUCUGUGCCGAAGCUAACGCAUUAAGUACCCCGCCUGGGGAGUACGGUCGCAAGACUGAAACUCAAAGGAAUUGACGG
rnacentral:rRNA from 1 species